rnacentral:lncRNA from 1 species
CUUGUUCUUAAUUUUAAAGUAUUAUAUUGUUAGUUUGAAUGCUUGAAAUUCAUAAUUGCUUAGGUUAUUCAAACACAAGUAACAACUAGUAUAACAACUAAGAAGUUGCAUAAUCUAUGUAACACCCCUUACCCUAUCAAAGGGUAGAUAGAGCAAGGAAUGUCACAAACUAUACCUUUUUAGAUAUAUCAGGACUAAACAAUUUCUUUUAUCUGUAAAUACCAAGUUUUUAGGUAAUGCAUGUAACUUUCAUCAAGUGAUUAAAAUAAAUGUGAGAUUUCUAACCCAAAAUUUUUCGGCAGAAUUUCCUCUGUUUCAUUAGCACUUUAACCUGUAAUACAUAUGAACAUCACACUUAUAAUUACACUAACAACUGUCAUUUGAUAUCUUACUAUUUUUUAUUACAUAAUCUUUACAACUCACUCUAUUUAAUAUGUACAUGCCAAAAUAAAACUGUACUAUGACUCAGAGACUCAAAAGAACCAGCUAUGAUAAUGGCCUUGAUAUCUGAUGUAGACCUUUGAUGAACUUCGCGUGCCUACUUUAUCUACAACCUGCGUGAGGUAAAAACCAACACGCUGAGCUAAUGCUCAGUGGGUGAUAACAACAAAUAACAAAAUAGCGUAAACAAGUUCACGUUUACAGAUAAUCAGAAUAAAAACAUCUUCUUUUUCCUUUAUUGCACAUUUUCUAUUCAUAGCAAAUCACCAUAGCUUAGUGCAUGUAAUAGAUGCAAACAUAUUAACACUCACUAAUAAGUUCACAAAAUCAAGUAUCAAUCUUAACUAAGAUCUUAGCCCUUAUAAACACAUAGUAGGAUCGACUAGGUAGAUAAGGAGUUAUAACGGUAGGCACAGGGUGCCGAACGGUAGGCUCAGAGGCCAAAUCUGUGAUAGCAGAGCUAUAUGGCCAUGCUUAUGAGGUACCAGAUAUGUAACCUCAAAUAUAGAUCAUGUAUCGGUAGCAGUACUGCGAACUCUGUAUGUUUAUAUGGCAUGCCAUACCCUUAUACUAACCUCGACUCCUAUUACGUUUACCAGGGCCAAGCACUAUUAAGUCAAUGUAUCAAUGUAAAAUGCAUGCCAUUUGAAGCUAUUUGCAUUCAUUUUCCAAGUUACAUAUAUCAUAUGCCAAGAUUUACAAUAUGGAAAUGUAGAAAACUACAUUCUGCCAUAUAUUGCAUCAACUUUUCAAGUAGUUUAGCGUUAUAAUUUAACUUCAUUUUCUUCAUAAGAAAUGUACAUUUAUGUCUUAUCUUUCCAACAAGGUAUGAUUCAUGCAAUUCUGAUCAUCCUAACUUAAGUUAUGAAUUUUUCUUUACAAGCUGCUCAAUCAGGUCUUAAUCAGUCCAGUAUUAGUACCUGUUUAUAGUAUCACAAAAAUUAUAAGAUUCAUACAUUUCCAUACAAAUUCAAGCUUAAGUGUCUUCUACAAAGUUUUAGGUAUACUUCUUAGGAUUCAUUUGGCACUGGUAUUAACAAAUUUCACUGAGUACAUAAUUAGUUAUAGUAUAAUCAAUACACACUGUUCCGGAUGCACUAACUCUGUAUCCAGUUUAGGUUCACUUCAAANNNNNNNN